GAUGAACGCUGGCGGCGUGCCUAAUACAUGCAAGUCGGGCGAACAGACGAGGAGCUUGCUCCUCUGACGUUAGCGGCGGACGGGUGAGUAACACGUGGAUAACCUACCUAUAAGACUGGGAUAACUUCGGGAAACCGGAGCUAAUACCGGAUAAUAUAUUGAACCGCAUGGUUCAAUAGUGAAAGACGGUUUUGCUGUCACUUAUAGAUGGAUCCGCGCCGCAUUAGCUAGUUGGUAAGGUAACGGCUUACCAAGGCAACGAUGCGUAGCCGACCUGAGAGGGUGAUCGGCCACACUGGAACUGAGACACGGUCCAGACUCCUACGGGAGGCAGCAGUAGGGAAUCUUCCGCAAUGGGCGAAAGCCUGACGGAGCAACGCCGCGUGAGUGAUGAAGGUCUUCGGAUCGUAAAACUCUGUUAUUAGGGAAGAACAAAUGUGUAAGUAACUAUGCACGUCUUGACGGUACCCAAUCAGAAAGCCACGGCUAACUACGUG
rnacentral:rRNA from 1 species